AGUGAACGCUGGCGGCAGGCCUAACACAUGCAAGUCGAGCGGCAGCGGGUUCCCGCGAGGGGAUGCCGGCGAGCGGCGGACGGGUGAGGAACACAUCGGAAUCUGCCUGGUUGUGGGGGAUAACGUAGGGAACGUUAACGCUAAUACCGCAUGCGACCCUGAGUCGACGGACGUGGGGGUGGAAAGUAGAGGGACCGUUCGGGCCGUCCACGCGACCAGAUGAGCCGAUGU
rnacentral:rRNA from 1 species